rnacentral:tRNA from 1 species
GGGGAUGUGGCUCAAGUGGUAGUGCGCUCACCUGGCAUGAGCGCGGCGCUGGGUUCGAUCCUCAGCACCACA